rnacentral:sRNA from 1 species
GAAGGAUGAACAAAACUAA